UACAGCGGUCUGCGAAGAGUGUGGGAAGCAUGCUUUUCAGCGUUGGGCAAGCGAACUGCGGCAUGGUCGUGUUUAAUUUGGCUAUGAAAUUUUAUGUUGUAGUUAUUAUUAUUGCAGCUGACUGCCAGUGCAUAUAUGAUGGGGAGGUGUAAAGUUAGAGCACUGAAAGCAAUGACUGCGCGUUUGAGCAGCGGGACUUGACUAGGCCGCAUGAGCAAAGAAAACGAAGGAUGGUGAUUGCUCUAGUGGAUGUUUUCUGCACUUCACCACGUGGACAGUGUGGUGUCAUACAGUCUCGUGGAGGACGGCCAGCAGCGAGGGGCCUUCAGUGUGAAUGGAUGUUCAGGAUAAUGACACAGGACCAGCCUGUGAUGCUCAAGAAGUGGACCCAGGCUUGAAGUUGCAGUGUCUCAGAUAAACAUGUUUUUUUGGGGGGUUUUUUUUCCAUCUUUGUUUUUAUUUUAUUUGUUCUAUUUGUAUUUGUUCUAUUUUUAUUGUAUAUAUUAAUCGACAUCUGCGGGUGGACAGCAAAGAAAGAAUUUCAUUGCACAGAGAAAUGCCUUUUCUCUUGUGACGCAUGACAAUAAACACUUUGAAUCUUGACUCUUUAAAAAGAAUAAAGCAUUUUUCCACAAACCAA